rnacentral:lncRNA from 1 species
GGUGAAACUGCUCCCUAUUCCCUACACCUAGCACUGUUUACAUUGUUUAUACGUCUCCCAUCAAAAUUAAAAUAACCCUUUUGUGCAUGUUUGUACUGUAUACCCCAUAUUUAUAGUAACACUCACAUAAUGUCUGGAACAUGUUUGCAUGUUUCAUUAUUUCAGAAAACGGUCCAACAAGUUCCUGUAGAUUUCAAGGAAAGACUCUUUUUUUUUAAGUAUGUAUAUUGCAGUAAAGAUAGUUGGUAAAAUCCCCAAACAUUGCAGAUUCCUGAUCUUCACACAUUGAGGCACACAGCAGGUGUCUUUGAAUGAUUGAGUACCUCUACCUCUACCUCUACCACUACCUCUACCUCCUCUACCACUACCUCUACCUCUACCUCUACCUCCUUUCCCACUACUUCUACCACUACCUCUACCUCCUCUACCUCUACCACUACCUCUACCUCUACCUCCUCUACCUCCUCUACCUCUACCUCCUCUACCUCUACCGCUACCACCUCUACCUCUACCUCCUCUACCUCUACCUCUACCACUACCUCUACCUCCUCUACCUCUACCACUACCUCCUCUACCUCCUCUACCUCUACCUCUACCACUACCUCUACCUCUACCUCUACCUCUACCUCCUCUACCUCUACCUCUUCCUCUACCUCCUCUUAUGCCCUUACAUGUAACAAGCAGAAUCAUAUUUUACAAUACAGUUCAACAACAUGUUUGGAAGUAUUAGGAAAUGAAUGAGUAUAAAUAAAAGUUCUAAGUAAUUAUUAUAUAUUUUGAAGUAUCUUAUAUGAUUUGUGGCAAUGAGAGCGUUAUGAAAAAAACUGGACAUGAAGCUCAGUUAUAAAGUACACAGUACAGGGAGUUUUGGUACAACAAACCAAAAAAUCCCAAAUGUAAUCCAAAUUCAACAUGUAUCAAGGAAAAGUAGCUUCAGGAUUUGGAGAACUACUGAACAUAUUCAACAUGUGGCGCAACGAUCGAAACCGCUAGGCUACCUGCCGCCCACGAUGUCUGAACGUUCAAUAUUACCUGGCACCACAGGCGAGUCAAAUACACAAUACUUUGUAGUAAAAAAAAAACUGUAAUAAAUACAAAACAGAUGAAAAAAAACCACUAAUAAAGACGUAUAAAUAUGGACUGAAAGCCUCAAUUGUAUCGAAAUACCGUAAAUAUACUUUGGCAAAAGCAGUAACAGAAAAAUCACAGUUUCUGGACCCAGAAGCGCAACAUCAGAGACUUCCGGGAACGCUUGUGAAACAGACCAAGAGGACCAGGCCAGGGUUUGGGGGUUUGACAAGUCAAUGAGAGAAGUGAAGAAUUCUUCCUUAGUUGUUAAUUUUCUCCUAAUCUAAAGGCACAACCUAGAUUGGAGCCAAUGUCUUAAAUACUCUCUAUAUACAAAAGUAUGUGGACACCCCUUCAAAUGAGUGGAUUUGGCUAUUUCAGCCACACCUGUUGCUGACAGGUGUAUACAAUCGAGCACACAGACAUGCAAUCUCCAUAGACAAACAUUGGCAGUAGAAUGGCCUUACUGAAGCGCUUAGUGACCUUCAACGUGGCACCAUCAUAGGAUGCCACCUUUCCAACAAGUCAGUUCAUCAAAUUUCUGCCCUGCUAGAGCUGCCCUGCUAGAGCUGCCCUGCUAGAGCUCCCUGCCCGGUCAACUGUAAGUACUGUUAUUAUGAAGUGGAAACGUCUAGGAGUAACAAUGGCUCAGGCGCGAAGUAGAAGCCCAAGGUCACAGAACAGGACUGGGAGUGGAGACAUGUUGGCUGGAGGGGGUUGGGGGGAUGGGAGAGUGGGAGUGGAGACAGGUUGGCUGGAGGGGGUUGGGGGAUGGGAGUGGAGACAGGUUGGCUGCAGGGGGUUGGGGGGAUGGGAGAGUGGGAGUGGAGACAGGUUGGCUGGAGGGGGUUGGGGGGAUGGGAGAGUGGGAGUGGAGACAGGUUGGAUGGAGGGGGUUGGGACCUGAUGACGUGUUCUGCACAUGGGCAGUUCAGGACGAGACAACCGUUAGACCUGAUGAUGUGUUCUGCACAUGGGCAGUUCAGGAUGACCGUUAGACCUGAUGACGUGUUCUGCACAUGGGUAGUUCAGAGCGACCGUUAGACCUGAUGACGUGUUCUGCACAUGGGCAGUUCAGGACGACCGUUAGACCUGAUGACGUGUUCUGCACAUGGGCAGUUCAGAGCGACCGUUAGACCUGAUGACGUGUUCUGCACAUGGGCAGUUCAGGAUGACCGUUAGACCUGAUGAUGUGUUCUGCACAUGGGCAGUUCAGGACAACCGUUAGACCUGAUGACGUGUUCUGCACAUGGGCAGUUCAGGACAACCGUUAGACCUGAUGACGUGUUCUGCACAUGGGCAGUUCAGGACAACCGUUA